GGCUGGGUAGUUUAAAAGAAUGGAAGUCUUGUAAACUUUUGGUGCUUGUUUAGGCUCUGGUCG
rnacentral:tRNA from 1 species